rnacentral:tRNA from 1 species
GGCCCCGUAGCUCAGCGGUUAGAGCUCGCCACUCAUAAUGGCUCGGUCCCCGGUUCGAAUCCGGGCGGGGCUA